rnacentral:lncRNA from 1 species
UGCUUUUCCUGUGCCCAGUUCCCUCACUCUUACUGGACUUGAACGAAUGAGAACAUCAUCGAGCACCAAAUAAUAAUGAUUUAAAAAUCAUGGGAACAAACAGUGAUAAAAAUGAUACUAUUUGUGGAGGAUCUGUGGGUCUGUUUUUUUUACAAGGAGUAUUUCAUUUGAUUCUCAUCUGAUUUUGUAAGGAAAUUACAAUUACUGUGUUUCUAGCCGGGCAAUGAUCUGCAGGACGUGAGAACUUGUUAGAAAUGCUAAUUCUCAGCCCAUCCAGCCUCCACUGACUUAUAUAUGCUGGGAGGCAAAGUCAAGCCCUUGGUGUUUAACAAGCCCUCCUUGGGGGGCUGACGCAUGUUCAAGUUUGAGAACCACUGUUUUCAGUACUGCUUUGUAUCCCCGAGUGUGAACUUGAGCGGUUCCCCGUGGCAACUGCUCAAUAACAUACCUUUCUGGGGCCUCCUUCCUUUCCUUGUUUCACAUCUUUACUCUUCAGCUGGGCCUUCCUGGGAUCACCUCCAAACAACUACUUGCAUUUGAAUCCUUGCCUCAAGUCUGCUUCCAGAGAACACCAUCUGAGAGAUCUGCAGGGGAAGUGUGGUUGCCCAGAGAGGAGGAGGAAAGUGGCUGAAAAAUUCAAACAUUUAUAAAAGAAAACAGAAUGGUAUUGUGGACUCCACAGACUUGUCACCCAGCUUCAACAAUGAUCAGCUCAGCGUCAAUCUUGGGUGUCUACUUUUCCCAACCUCCAUCCCUGUCAAUGGAGACACCAUACCAUUGCCUCUGUAAAUAUACUGGUAUGUAUCACAUCAUUAAAAGAUAAGCACUCCUUUAUAAAAUAUAAUCACAAAAAUAUCAUAAAUAUAUGUGUCCAAACCUGAAGGAAGUGCAAAACCCAGAGUGAACCAUGGACUUUGAGUGAUAAUGAAAUUUCCAUGUGGCUUCAUCAGUUGUGACAAAUGUACCACUCUGAUGGGGGUUGUUGGUGAUGGGGGACAGUGUGUAGGGGGGAAGGAGAUACACAGUCAAUCUAUGUUCAAUUUUGCUAUAAUCCUAAAACUAUUCUAAAAAGUCUUUACAAAUAGGACAUAACCACAAUACUGUUAUUAAACUCAACAAUAGUUCCUUGGUACUAUUUGUUUACUGUUGUCUCUCUCCCCGAGAGUGCUUUCUGAAUCAUUUGGGUCUGUAUCUUGGUGCCCAGCCCAGCACCA